GUGCUUGCUUUAGCAGCACAUUCACAAAAAUUAGAACAACACAGAGAAGAUUAGCAUGGCGCCUGUGCAAGGAUGAUGUGCAAAUUCAUGAAGUGAUUCAUAUUUUU
rfam:Tupaia chinensis contig234933, whole genome shotgun sequence.